ACCUAGGAUAGCUCGGUUGGUAGAGCAUGAGACUCUUAAUAUCAGAGUCGCAGGUUCAAGCCCCACAUUGGGCA